UACGUAGGGGGCGAGCGUUGUCCGGAUUCACUGGGCGUAAAGGGUGCGCAGGCGGCCAAGUGUGUUGGGCGUGAAAGCCCGGGGCUUAACCCCGGAAUUGCACCCAAAACUACAUGGCUAGAGCAUUGGAGAGGGUAGCAGAAUUCAUGGUGUAGCAGUGAAAUGCGUAGAUAUCAUGAGGAAUACCAGAGGCGAAGGCGGCUACCUGGACAAUUGCUGACGCUCAGGCACGAAAGCGUGGGGAGCAAAAGGG
rnacentral:rRNA from 1 species